CGUAGGGGGCAAGCGUUGUCCGGAUUUACUGGGCGUAAAGCGCGUGUAGGCGGCCAGGCAGGUCCGUUGUGAAAACUGGAGGCUUAACCUUCAGACGUCGACGGAAACCGUGUGGCUAGAGUCCGGAAGAGGAGAGUGGAAUUCCUGGUGUAGCGGUGAAAUGCGCAGAUAUCAGGAAGAACACCAAUGGCGAAGGCAGCUCUCUGGGACGGUACUGACGCUGAGACGCGAAAGCGUGGGGAGCGAACAGGAUUAGAUACCCUGGUAGUCCACGCCGUAAACGAUGGGUGCUAGGUGUGGGAGGUGUCGACUCCUUCCGUGCCGUAGCUAACGCAUUAAGCACCCCGCCUGGGGAGUACGGCCGCAAGGCUA
rnacentral:rRNA from 1 species